UACGAAGGGGGCUAGCGUUGCUCGGAAUUACUGGGCGUAAAGGGAGCGUAGGCGGACAUUUAAGUCAGGGGUGAAAUCCCAGAGCUCAACUCUGGAACUGCCUUUGAUACUGGGUGUCUUGAGUGUGAUAGAGGUAUGUGGAACUCCGAGUGUAGAGGUGAAAUUCGUAGAUAUGCGGAAGAACACCAGUGGCGAAGGCGACUCACUGGCUCAUUACUGACGCUGAGGCUCGAAAGCGUGGGGAGCAAACAGG
rnacentral:rRNA from 1 species